rnacentral:rRNA from 1 species
AACGAACGCUGGCGGCAUGCCUAACACAUGCAAGUCGAACGAGACCUUCGGGUCUAGUGGCGCACGGGUGCGUAACGCGUGGGAACCUGCCCUUAGGUUCGGAAUAACUCCCCGAAAGGGGUGCUAAUACCGGAUAAUGUCUUCGGACCAAAGAUUUAUCGCCUUUGGAUGGGCCCGCGUUGGAUUAGCUAGUUGGUAGGGUAAAAGCCUACCAAGGCGACGAUCCAUAGCUGGUCUGAGAGGAUGAUCAGCCACACUGGGACUGAGACACGGCCCAGACUCCAACGGAAGGCAGCAGUGGGAAAUAUGGGACAAUGGGCGAAAGCCUGAUCCAGCAAUGCCGCGGGAGUGAGGAAGGCCUUAGGGUGGUAAAGCUCUUUUACCCGGGAUGAUAAGGACAGUACCGGGAGAAUAAGCUCCGGCUAACUCCGU